rnacentral:rRNA from 1 species
GGCAGACGGGUGAGUAACAUGUAGGUAUCUGCCCUUCGGCCUGGAAUAACACGAGGAAACUUGUGCUAAUACCGGAUAAGUCUUUACGGAGAAAGCUUUAUGCACCAUUGGAUGAGCCUGCACUUGAUUAGUUUGUUGGUGGGGUAAUGGCCUACCAAGACUGUGAUCAAUAGCUGAUUUGAGAGGAUGAUCAGCCACAUUGGGACUGAGACACGGCCCAAACUCCUACGGGAGGCAGCAGUAGGGAAUCUUGCACAAUGGAGGAAACUCUGAUGCAGCGAUGCCGCGUGAGUGAAGAAGGCCUUUGGGUUGUAAAGCUCUUUCGUCGGGGAAGAAAAUGACUGUACCCGAAUAAGAAGGUCCGGCUAACUUCGUGCCAGCAGCCGCGGUAAUACGAAGGGACCUAGCGUAGUUCGGAAUCACUGGACUUAAAGAGUUCGUAGGUGGUUGAAAAAGUUGGUGGUGAAAUCCCAGAGCUUAACUCUGGAACUGCCAUCAAAACUUUUCAGCUAGAGUAUGAUAGAGGAAAGUAGAAUUUCUAGUGUAGAGGUGAAAUUCGUAGAUAUUAGAAAGGAUACCGAUUGCGAAGGCAGCUUUCUGGAUCAUUACUGACACUGAGGAACGAAAGCAUGGGUAGCGAAGAGGAUUAGAUACCCUCGUAGUCCAUGCCGUAAACGAUGUAUGUUAGACGUUGGAAAUUUAUUUUCAGUGUCGCAGCGAAAGCGAUAAACACAC